rnacentral:piRNA from 1 species
UGCCAUUAAGAGGAACAAUCCGAUC